rnacentral:rRNA from 1 species
CCUACGGGGGGCAGCAGUGAGGAAUCUUGCGCAAUGGGGGAAACCCUGACGCAGCCAUGCCGCGUGAAUGAUGAAGGUCUUAGGAUUGUAAAAUUCUUUCAGCGGGGACGAUAAUGACGGUACCCGCAGAAGAAGCCCCGGCUAACUUCGUGCCAGCAGCCGCGGUAAUACGAAGGGGGCUAGCGUUGCUCGGAAUUACUGGGCGUAAAGGGCGCGUAGGCGGAUGUUUAAGUCAGAGGUAAAAGCCCAGGGCUCAACCUUGGAACUGCCUUUGAUACUGGACAUCUUGAGUACGGGAGAGGUGUGUGGAACUCCGAGUGUAGAGGUGAAAUUCGUAGAUAUUCGGAAGAACACCAGUGGCGAAGGCGACACACUGGCCCGUUACUGACGCUGAGGCGCGAAAGCGUGGGGAGCAAACAGGAUUAGAUACCCCAGUAGUC